rnacentral:rRNA from 2 species
UACGGAGGGUGCAAGCAUUAAUCGGAUUUAUUGGGUGUAAAGAGCGCGUAGGCGGGUCAGCAAGUCAGAUGUGAAAUUCCGGAACUCAAUUCCGGAGCUGCAUUUGAAACUACUGAUCUUGAGGAUAGACGGAGAAAACGGAAUUCCACAUGUAGCGGUGAAAUGCGUAGAUAUGUGGAAGAACACCGGUGGCGAAGGCGGUUUUCUAGUUUAUUCCUGACGCUGAGGCGCGAGAGCAAGGGUAGCAAACAGG